CGUGGGUAACCUACCCAUCAGAGGGGGAUAACACUUGGAAACAGGUGCUAAUACCGCAUAACAGUUUAUGCCGCAUGGCAUAAGAGUGAAAGGCGCUUUCGGGUGUCGCUGAUGGAUGGACCCGCGGUGCAUUAGCUAGUUGGUGAGGUAACGGCUCACCAAGGCCACGACGCAUAGCCGACCUGAGAGGGUGAUCGGCCACACUGGGACUGAGACACGGCCCAG
rnacentral:rRNA from 1 species